CUACCGACUAAGUGCAUGACGACUAUCUUUCUUUCUUAUCUCUGCACUGACUUAGUUAUGAAUUGAGCCGAUUUAGAUCAGUGGGACUUAACUAAGUUGGCAUUCGACUGACUUGGUUCAACACAAUCGAUGAUUGACUGGCAAUGUUCGACAUAUAGUUGGCUCCUUACCGACGACAUUCUUGGCACCAUACCGACUAUUUAAAUCCUAUAGAUCUGGGAUCAAACGAUGGU
rnacentral:lncRNA from 1 species